GCAGGAAUUGCACUGCAAAUCAGAAGAACAGUGUACCAAGUCCACUCCCCUUUCCCGACAGCUGUCAACACCAGGUGUUGGUGAGAGCAAGGAAGGAGGCACGCUCAGCAGUUCCCACCAGGCUGAGGAGCACUCAGUUGUGAACACAGCGAAGAGAGAGGAUGCAGACCCCUCGCACACAGAUAGAUUAUUUCAGCUCUCUGGAAACCUUACUUUUAUUAGAAACUACCUCAAAUGCCACAUUGUGUUUGGUUACAAAAGACGUGGAGAAACUGAAGAGAGAGUGUCUGGAUUACGAGAUGUUGAAGCAUUGACUAUGAGAGAAGAUUGUCCUCGCUUACCCCAGGCACAGGCAGGUUUGGGGAGGGUGAUUAGAUAGCAAUCUUCUGAUGGAUUGCUCUAAAGGUUAUUUGAGAGAGGACUGUGAUAAACUUGUCUUCACAGUUACUCAGAGAAAAUAAAAGGAAAUUAUAUCAAUUUGCAGCAAAGAAGAUUUAAUUUAUACAUUUGGAAAAACCCAACCUUUUUGACCGGAGCCCUGAAAUAGCAGAAUAGACUCAUUAGGCAUGUUGAAAGUUUGCAGAAACCCACUGGACAAACCGUUUUAGGCAAUGCCUAAAUGCAGUUCCUCCUUUCUCGAUGAAAGGACUUUACAUAGAUCUUCUCUGAGGGCUCUUCCAAACACCAUCUUCUUAGUCUACAGUUUCAUUUUUAGGUAGUGAAUCGUUGAAGUUACAUAUAUAUAAAUUCACCAGGUUUUAUUCACACUGAGAAUUAGUCAACUUUAUAUCCAGUACUAGCUGGCCUACAUGUUGCAUGCUUCACUGAUUUGUGUAUGACUGUUAUGAUAUCUGCUGUUCUCAGCUCAGCCAAAGAACGUGCUGACCUUAUAGGCUUCACCAAUAAUUUUUCUACCAUCCAGCAGUAAAUGAGGAAACAAGUAUGAAAGGUGAUGAUUCCACAGUACCUGCUGUCCAUGCUGUAAUACUGCCUACAGGCUAUAACUGAAAAUCCACCGAAUGAGUACAGCCCGUGUGAAUCACGGUUACGAGGCGUUCAGUACAUUUACAGCUCCGUGCACCCCUAUAAAAUCCCAUCUUGGUUGCCAAGAACAUAUCUCUAAGAUUUAAAGGUUUUGUUUUUUUUUUAACUACUGAGGGGAAGCAAUAGUCUGACAAAAAUUAAUUCAUAGGUGUGAAGUUUUGCUCGAUAUUUUGUAAAAACUUGUAAGAAACCUGUUGAUACACUGUGUGGCAUCUUUAUAGAUGCUGAAUAUGCUGAAUACAAGUAGGAAACAGAUGUCUUCUAAGUGAAAAGAUAAAUUCUAAUCUCAGUCAUUACAUGCUAACUUUUUCUCUUUCCUCAUGUUAAUCUGUUCUUCAAUUUUUAAUUUUCUGUUUUAAGCAAUACUGCUUUUGUUACUGAUUGGAUUGCCACAGUAUAUUUUGUCAAAGUCAGGUCAGUUUUUUUCCCCAGAAGUAAAUGUGAAGUUCUCAUUUAGUGAAAAUAUAACCUUACAGUAUAAAAGAAAGCUUCUUAGGUUUUUAGACCAUUUACCUUUCCUAAUGACCAUCUGUACACAGGCUGUGUGUCAACUACCACCAUCAGUAUUUAUUCACUCAACACAGACUUUCUGGUUUUCUUCACAGGCCAGGCUUUGUAGAACAGGCACAGAUGUAUUACCUGUAGUAUCUCUGCUUGUCCUGUGUCAGAUCUCAUAAAAAAUGGAACAUCACCUCAUUCACAGACCCUAAGCACUGGCCACAGUUAGGAGGUGGCAUCCAGAGAAUGAAGUGCUGCUCUCACAUGAGCUUACAGUAAUAGAAGGAAGAAAAAAACCUAAGAUUGAAGGAAAACUAUUUAAAGUAUCUUUCAGAUAAAAACUGACAUGCAUUCUAGAAUUAGAGGAUGCAAAAACACAAGAAGGGCACAAAACUAGAGUGAUAAUAAUGCGUAAACAAUCAGUAAUGUAUGGUAAAUUCAUUUCUUUCAUUGCUUGCCUGAUUGUCCUAGAGCAGAAAUCUUCCACCAAAGUGUAGUGUUGAUCAUGUCAGUCAGGCCUGGCCUAACACCUGUUUGAUUUAAUGUGCUAUAGGAGACAGCAACAGCAAUUUUCAGCUGACUGCUGUGGAAACAUAGCUAUUUUUCAUGCAGAUGUGUUCAGAGGUGAAAUUUAUGAGUUUAAGUGGAACAGAUCUGAAACUCAACGGUUUUUUGUGGUAUAAAAUCUUCUGCCUCAUUUUGGCUACACUUGCCAUUUGGAGAUUUUGUAUUUAUCUCAGCCUGUAAACUAGAGCAACAUUAGCGAGUGUGAACCUGAGAGAACCGUCCAAGCAGCAAGGGUUGUCAUGAAAACCCAGACAAUCACAUUUUGAGCAGUCCUGCUUUAUUUUGUCAAUUUUUGGCUAAAGAGAUCAGGCGGGAAGCUAAAAACCUGAUGGUCUCAUGCCCUCUUGUCUGCAGCCACUUUCCAGAGGAGAGGAACUGUGUUUGAAUUUCAGUUUCAUCGUGCAGCCUCCAACACACAAGCUAUCAGCCAGUUCAGCAGUUGUGCAAAUACAUUCUUGUCCAUUAAACAUCUACAGAGCUGUGUGUUAUGAACGAGUAACACUAUUUUAUUGCUGGGUUCAUUCAGGACUUGGCAUGAGUGUCUUUGUGAGUUAUUUUUGUGCCAUUUUUUUCUCUUGAAAAUGUCUGAAAUAGUUUUAAUGUUUUAGGAUGUUCUGCCUUUGAAUGGAACAUAUUUUAAGAUACUCAUACUGUGGAAAUCUGCUAUAUGUCCUACAGCCCCAAAUAAGGUACUCAAAAAGAGGAAAAGAUGAGCAGAGAUGGCUUUGACCUGUCCUUAUACCUUUUGGAUGCAGUGUUGCUCCAGCAGUCCAAGUCAAUCCUCACAGGCACUGCAAGUUGCCCUAGGUCUUGCAAAGAGCAGCAUUUCUGGACUGAAGUGCCUCUACAUGAUUUUACCACCUCCUGGUGACCAGUAAAGCCAGUCCUGUUUCUGGCAUGUUGCUCAUGGCCGUGUUUGGGAGAGUUUAUUAGACAACUCUUCCUUGCCAUCUUAAUUCCUGACCUGAAGCAUCACCCCUCUUCAUUUUCAAACCCAUAAAACCCCUUUCAUAAAUCUCUGCCCCUCUCACCCAGAGCACACAUUCUUCAGCUUCUGGGUAAUACAACUGUGAAGGUGAGUAUUUUGGUCCAGUAUACAUAACUGUAUGGCAAAAUUAUAUUCAUAUCCUGACAGAUGAUUGGAGUAAAAAAAGGUGUUGUCUUUUGAACAGCCUGCAAUGUCAGAGAUGUAUCCACAAGAUCAUCUGAUUGUGUUUCUCAUAGUGGAUCAAGUUUUUGAUCACGUGCUUUCUUCUUUUUAAACUUACAGUCUUCAUGAAAGAUACUGGAAAGCAAUUUUAACGCCUGUACUAAUCAUCUGUGAGAACUGAGGAACAGUACAAUGGCAGCAGAGAUAAGCAAUGGGAAGAAAGUAAAUCAAUAGGCUGACUCUGCUAUGCGAAUUUAAAUAUUUACAUUUGUGGGAUUAAUGCCUAAUUGACACGACUAAGAAAAAUAUUGGCUUUCUUUUGGGAAAAUUCCAUUCAUAUACAUGGUUCAUGAAAGGAAGAAAUCUGGGAAUAUGUGAUGCUGGAAGAGAUGUGAAAAAUGAGGACUGGUGUAGAGGUGCAAGCUGAAUAUGAAAUUGCAAAUCAAGCUGCCACAGUGGGGGGAACCUCAUAAUGGAGCAGAAGAUGGAUAUUCCUGUGCUUUGCUGAGCUAACAGCAUGGGCUGUAGCCUGGGCAGAAAGGCAGCAACAGUUAAAUUCUGCAGUGAUUACAAGUUUAUAGUUCUACUUAGUCUGUUUAAACGUGGUAGGUUCCUGGAUAUACACCUUAUUAUGCCUCAACCAGGUGAUUGUCAACCCUGUUCCUGUAAUGGCAACUUUUUUUAACCUGUAACACCUUACACAAGAUGAGUAGUCUCAGCUGGUCCCUCUUAACUAGAAAAGCCUCACUGAUGCCUGAUGCUGCAGCUAUGGACUUAGUCUGGCAAUUUGUCAUACAAGUACAGUUUUGCAAACAAAUUCAUUCAAAUACACUAAUUAUGAUGAUAUUUGUCCUCUUAACAAUUUCCAGGGGUAAUACUUAAAGUCAUUGAUUGUGGCUGGAUGGGUAAGAGAGGAUCACUUCAUGGUCUCCUGCCGACAGUGCAGAUGAGAGCUGAGGAGCAAAGACACUGCUUUCCUCAUCCACCCCCUGUGUCUGCACUUGUUCUUUGUAAGGUUGAAAAGCUUUUUACAAUGAAUGAUUCCAGUGACAUGACUAGUAAGAAAUCUGGGCCUUGGAUGCAGAAUUGAAGCAGAGAAAUGAGAAGGAGUUAAAGAAACAGCAAGAGGGACUUCCGUGGCUGUACUUGUUUUUCUUGGAUAAACUUUGGACUGUUCACCUUGUCUCUCAGAAAUUAUUCAGUGAACUGGUGACUCCAUGGCGUUUAUUAUUUUAAUUACCAUCAAACCAUGCAGAUGAAAUUUACUGGAUAAUAAAUCUGUAGACAGAUGUACUCUGAAUAUUGUCAUGUGCAAUUGUAAAUUUGGGAAAAGAACAAGAUUUUACUUACCACAUUUAAUUGGGCACAGAACAGAAAGGCUCAGGAAUUUAUAGCCAAUACUUUCAUCCACUAAAAACAUGAGAUUUUUCCAAUUUGUAAAUUAUUGGCUUAAUUUAAUUCAAAUUGUGUCAGCAGGAGCACCUUGGAGUCAUUAUUGUUUGUAGAGCUUGACCCUUUUGAGGGAUGUCCAGAGGAGGGAAGAGCAGAAGUUGGGAGGAGCACAGAAUUAUUUGUACGCCACAAAUAAUUAAAAGAUAUAGGGAACUGAGUGUGUUGGAUAAAACCUAUUGAGUCCUGUUUUCUUCCAGCUGGUGGCCAGUGUAGGAAGCAUAUUAGAAGCACAGAAAGUAAGGAUUCCACAUCAGCAUGGGUCGUAAAAUACAAGUGAAACUGCCAAAGGCCUGAGAGACUGUUUUCCUGCCAAAGGCCCUUAGGGACUGACCUUAGGCAGCUGUUUUCCUGCUCCCAGUUACAGGGAGAGGUUGCUCUAUGUGGCCAUCUCUUUGCUGUACCCUGAUUUUACAAAAUACAAAGGCUCUUGAGAGGAAUGAACUUUGAACUAGUCAUUUGCAGAAUUAAUUUGUUUUCUCCCCUUCAACAAAUGGCAUCAGCCCUGCUUGUGUGAGAGGAAAAGCCAGCAGUAACAAUGCACAGCCAUGAGUGGCAAUCCCAGCCUCCAAACAAGUGUGGAUCUGCAAAGCCUUCUUCAGGGGGCUGGCAGAGAGAGAAACGGAGAGUGCAGAUGUUGCAUGGGAAGGGUCUGUGACAGGUGGCCCCACACUCCAAAUUUCUUUAACUUUUUAAAAUUUUCAAUAAAAAUCCCUUUGACCCUGGCAUUUUCUAUACAGACAGAAAUUAUUCUCAAUGUGCAGUGUUUAGAGUAUAAUACCAAUUACAGGCCCAUUUGAAUGCUCACAGGAAGUAGCUUCAUUAUUCAUCCUGUUGUCAGCUUCUUUCUGAUAAUAUGUGAUAGAAGUAACUAUUAAUACUUGCAGUGUGGCAAAAUGGGAAAGUAAAUACCUAAGAAAGCAGUGGUUCUGACAGCAGGCAGCCUCCUCAGAAAUGACAUAUUCUAUGAUUUUGAUGCAACAUGUCCUGGCGAUCAAGACUGCCUUCAACAGCUGAAAGCAUUGUGUCAUUAACUGAGCUACAUAAUGUCAAUAACCUUAAAUAUAAAGACCUAAAUCCCUUGCUUUAUCCAAUGCCCUGCAAGACACCAAACAGAGCUGGACUCUACCCUUGGCAAAGGACUGGCAAAAGCACUGUGUUUUUCACAGGCACCUUUAAUCCCAGCAGGCAGAGCUCAAGAAAUACUGCAGGGGAUUGCUUCCCAGCUUACUUUGGUAUUGCCUUCCCACCAGUCACGCUUCGCUGGGUCUUGCCGCGCGUUCUCAGCAGCAGAGAUGCAUCAUUAUGCACCCAAAAAAACAAAGAGAGCUCAGAUUGCUUCAAAGGACGUGGGAUCUGCAGCCCAGGCUGAGGGGGGCUGACAAAGAGUGAGGAAAAGUCAGGCUUCAGUAACUUUUAAUGACAGCUCUCGUUAAGAUUAAAAAACAGCUCAGCCAUUGUCCUGUGAUUCAGUCUGAAGGGGUGCCCAUCACCCUUGUGCUGCAGGUUGCAGCACCACGAAGGAGGUUAUUAUCCUCAAAAUUAAUCAUUUGGAGCCACAGCAACAGGAGUGCAAUGCUGAGAUACAAAAGUCACUGCUGUCCGCCAGACUGGAGACUGACUGCUGCCAAUGCAGCCAUCCCACCUUUUUGCAGGAUCCUGUCUCACCCAUCAAACUGCAUUUUUGUUCCAAGUGGGAAGAAGCAGGUUGUUUCAGCAAAGUCUGUCUUUGUCUCCUUUCCCAGGCCCCCUGAUCAGCCCCUGGAGUGACUGGUGCAGAUGGACACUUACAAAUAGCACUGGUUGGAAAAAUAGCAAAUAAAUUACCAUCCUUCAUUUGUCCCAUUUCUUAGUAUUUAUUUGGCUAACAGAAAGGAAAGUGUAACAUUUUAGAAAGCUCUUAUCAUCCUUUCCUGCUUUUACUGGAAAUAAAGACUAUGGAAGCAAAAAUCUGUGGUCAGGAUUUGUAGGAGUCAAUGCAUUCCCAAGCUUUUGAAACUCUCCAGAAAUGCCAUAUACUUAACCUAUUUCCUCAUCAGUCCCACAUGAGCCCUUGGAUAUCUUUUUGGCUUUAAGAGCAUUGUGUCUUCCAACAUCACAGACAAAAUCUAUCCAAGUCUUAGUACACUGGCCACAUCUUCUGUGAUCCUCUACUGAGGAUAAACUCUUUUCAUCACUCACCUCUCAGUAACUUUCCUGUGUCAAGAAUGGACUACGUUCUCAUUAGAUGAGUGAGACAAAGUGAAAAUCCAGCUGUUGAUGUUUCUUUUCUUCUGAGAAAGAAAUAAUAUUUAUUUACUAUGAUUUGUGCUACACUAGGUCCUGAAAGCCCCAGAGGAGACACAAGCCCUGGAAUGAUAUGGGCUACACAUGAGAUAUGGCUACACAUCCUGAAAGUUUACAGUCUAAAAUAAGAAGACAAACAACUCUGAUGUUAUUGCAGACAAAGAAUAUCGCAUAUCAUGAAAUUAAACAGUCCCAGUGGGAGAGAGAUUUGCUUGGAUCUGUGGGUAAGAUUGACAGAAAUUCAUCCCCUGAGUGUAACAGAAUAAAAUAUGAGCUUAGAACAACAUCUAUUACCAUACAUUUAAUAAUUUAAAUGAUGUAUACUUCGUCUGUGCCUCAAUUAACAUCAGGCUAGCCCAUCUAUUUCAGUGCUUGGAUAUCUUCUCUACUGUCUGGCUUUCUGCUGUACUACUGAUAGAGUAAUGUUUCAUUAUUAAUUCCUGUUUCUCAGGAAUUUUUUAUUCUGUAAAAUAGCUCUUUGUAGCAGUUAUCUUGAACUCACAAUAGCUUCACAUUAAGAAUUCAGAGGUAUCAUAUGACUGUUAUUUUAACAUCAUCUGGGUAUUCAGUUCCACAGAAUUAUGAAAUGAAAUUAUGAGAAGGGGUUUAGAGAAUUUACAUGUAAGACAUUUCACAGUCAUUAGCAACAUCAGCAAAGCCCUGUUGGACCAACACAGGAAGGCAGAAAGAAAUGCUCCUAUUUUUCUAGUGUUCUGGAGUGGUUUUCCCAUUUGUUGACUCUAGACAUUUUUUCAAGUGAAACCUAGUUCCAGGAGCAUGGGAAAUCGCCCUAGAUGUACAUUAAUACACUGUGGAGGACAAAAACCUGAUCCUACACAAUAAAUCAUUUUCCAUUUCAUUUCAAUAUGCAACCACAUGAUAGCACACUGGGGAAAAUGGAAAUGUAAUGGUAUCGCAGCUGCUCAUGGGCACAACAGCAGGAGGACAAACCCAAGAUAAUACUGAGUUCAGAAGUUCAGAUCCAGCACAGGGUUACAAAAACUGAAUUACAACCAUUGCUGGACUCGAAUCCUUGGAGCAACUACUCCCCCGACACACACACACAGUGUCUUGUGUCUUACAGCAGAAUUACUGGGGUGCUUAAAAUGACAACCUUCAAGUGUGAGUAUUUCUGCGCUUCCCUUGCUAUCUUCAGUAAUUUCUCAGAAGACCCAUGACCUUGUUCUUUCUCUGAUAAUUAUGGGAGUUGCAAACCACACAGAACACCAUUUUUUAAAUGCUUUUAAAUCCUAUUUUUUAGCACAAUGGAAAUGUCAUGGCAAUAGCAUGAUGCAUGCACACAUAUUAAAAGCUUUUUUGCAGGAAUAAAAAGGUCUACAAAGUGAACAUACUUCUCAGUGUAUGUAAAAACCUAUUGGAUUUUAAUGCCUCAGGGCAUGAAAAAUCAUCAUUUAACCCAAAGUUCUCACCAUGUUUGGAUGGAAGCAUCACUCCUAAACCAAAAUCGCUACCAGGUACGCUGGAAGAGUGGGAAGGAGAGAAAUGCUGUGGAGAAUGCACAGGGUCCAGCUCCCCCAUAAACUCAUGUACCGUCACUGGCUGACAAACAGACUGUCCCAAAAGCACCACCUCAGACAGGGUAAGGCUUUGUAAUGGUUUUCACACUGCUAAAGAUAUUUGUAGGAAAUGGUGCUCCCUCGGCCUGAUGCUCACCAGCUCCUUCACCCACCCUCCACAGUUCAGAGCAAGCAGAGCCAUAACAAGAAUAUUCCCUGAUUUUUGCUUUAAUCACUGAUCCCAAGUUUCUUUGAUGUUUUAAUUCAGAACAGAGCCUGCAGCAGGAAGAAGGUGUGGGGAGAGGACUAGGGUCACUCGUAUCUCCCACUGCAGCUGAAACCAUGGAGAUUUCCGUGGGACUUCAGCAAAAGAACAGACCAGUAGAGAAAGGCCAAGGGAGGCACUGAAGCAACUUAGCAAAACGGUGGGUUUGUUGCUGCGACUUGCUGCUGCACUCCUUUCUGACAGUGAUCCAAGGAAACUGACAGCUGGUCAGAGGAUGUGUACUGAAGAGAUUUAUUGACUUGUGUGGCCUCAAAAAGACCUUGUUGGUGCUGUGUUCAGUGGGUCUCUAAUUUGUUUUCACUUGCUAUUUUCCUAACAAGAUUUUCCAUUUCUCUCUCUCUCUGUCUUUUCCAUCUGAGAACAACAAAUUAGGCUUUUAAGUCUGAAUGUAAGGUUAUCAAACAUUGCAGUAGGAUUUGCAACACUUGUGCUAUCAUGGAAUUCCUUGUUGUAGCGAGCAUCUCACUGCAACAUGACAAUAUAUUCUUAACACAAUGGAUUUCAUAGAAACAGUGAACUCCAUCCCAAUUCAGGGAAAGGAGCUGAAUGGAAUAUCCACCACGCCUCUGCCUCACUGGAGAUAUCCAUCACAAUUUGGCCAAAAGCACUGCAACAGUUACAUGUCACCGUGAUUUAGCAAAAACAAUCAAACAAAAGAGCUGCUGAAAUAAAGUCACUGAAAUAUGCUUCUUUCAACACACCUUGCAUAAUAUUUCUCCUCCCAAAUUUAUGUUUCUCUUCUCAUCUUUAGGAAUCACUAGAACUACAGCUCCCCUCUUUUAACCUAGGGUCAUUUCUCACUCUUUCGGUUGGCCCACCAUAGUCUCAUGCCGUUCCAGCACCAUUUCACUACAAGCAAAAUCUAUGUACCAAUUUGUACUCUGUAUUUCCUUUUCCUUCAUGCCUAGAUUUUUCUAAAACACUUCUAUACCUACACACUCAUCUACAACAAACUAAAAAAAAAGCACUUUGAAAACUUAUUUCUUUUCAGAAGAGAAGGAAAUAGGUUUUGCUACUGUUUCAUUUAUAGGAUCCCCUUAGGGGCUCGCAUAGAUAUGUUUUGCUGCAGGUUUACUGCAUUGCCUGUGAUUUCCACUUAAAGGACCCUGGAAAAAACAAAAAUCAUGAUAUUUUCCCCCCAUCUAUCUCAAACAAUAUCAGAGAGUAGAAAAGAACAGUCAUUUGUCUUUUUUAAAAUGAUAUUUUAAUUACUCAUGUCAUGCCUCAGCAAAAUGGCAAGCCUUUUGUUAAAAUGGGGCUUAAUUGCAUUAUGAAGCCUUCAUGGGACCCUCGCACAUAAAGCGCUUUUCUUCAGACUUUCAAGACCUAAAUUUGCAGUUGGCUCCUGACCAGCGCACUCGAGCAGAUAGGCACGUAGGUAGGGGGCAGACCCCGUGUUGAUGAAGUAAUCACAACUGACUGCCUCGCAUGUGCUAUUCCACAAAUAUGCCCGCAAACAAAAAUUGCAUCUGCAUGUUGGUUUUCAUUUUAAGUUCAUUCAGGAAAAAAAAAAAACUUAACCAAAAAAAAUCCCCAGCCCUUAGUAUGUCAGAAAGCAUGGAGACACCUUCACGGACUGUUGGCUACGCCUCACCAAAGCUUUACAACAAUCUGUUAGACAAAAAAGAGACUGAUGCAGAUACCUUAACAAGCAUCCCAUCUGUGAGGUCAUUGGGAUAUUUCAAACAACUUUCAGCUCUCAUUAGUUUAGCGGAUUCCACAAGCAUGUCCUUAUCUUUUGUAACUUUUGCAGCCAAACUUCCUGGGAAAGCCUCUGAGCUGGGUGACAUUCUUACCCAUGGGUCAUUCUGCAGUAAUGAGCCACCAAUUUAUGUGUCGUUUGCACUCGCAGGCAGUAUAUGUUUAUAUUAACCUUUAUGUUGUGAAUUUUUUCCUUUAUCCAUGUAAUUCUCUGGGUUCUACCAUGCAAAUCUCAUUAUUUCUAAUAGGCUGCAAUUAGGAUAUCCACGCUGUUGAUCACAGUCAUUUGCAACACUGACGGGCAUUUUCCAAGAAUAAAUGCUUUAUUUUUUACUAUAUGAGUGAUGGAAUGUGUAACAGAAACUAUGCCUGAAAAAUAAUAGUGACUAGUGGAGCUGCAGGAUCAUAGGAAUCCUUAUCAGCUCUCUGGUUUUGUACCUUCAAUUAACACAGGAGGUAUAGCAUAGUCUAUUGCUUCACAUAAAACACGCCAUGCAUGGCAUUGCACGGAAAUGAGAUUUACAAUUUUUCAAGUCUGCUAGGCCUGAAUGAGUAAAUGGGUAUUUAUUACAAUUUCUUACAGUUUUAUGCACUUGAAAGGGAUAAAGCAGGUUCAUCAGCACUUGCCCACAUGUUAGGUCUUUAUUGCACUAAUGAGUACCCCUUUAAAGGGGAUGUUGUAAUGCUGUUUUCUUUUCUAAGAACUCCCAUGUCUGUAUUCAGAAUUUGUUGGACUGAACCAUUCUGCUAUUUAAGGUACAAGAGGGUAAUAUCCACAGCCCUUAUUCAGAUCUUUCUUUGGCUGCUGUUGUGUUCUGAGUUUUGCAUGAAGGACAUGGGUGGAAAAGGAGAACUGGUGAAACACUGAUAGCAGAUGGAUGCAGUAUGAAGAAGUAAGAAGAGAUGCCACAGAAUGUUUGCAGGACCAUAAAAGAUGUGAAGUUGAAGAUACUGUCCUGUGGGCAGGUGGAACACCACCUCUGGCAACAUCCAAAUAGCCUGAAAGAAUCAAGCAUCAAAUUUCUUUCAGCAAUCUGUAUAUGAAAUGACUGAAGAACUGAAGACUGCUAUGAAUGGGUCAUACUACAUGGUAUAAAACUUGCUUCUUUCCAAGCUGGUGCUCUCAUUGCAGUGUAUGCCUCUCAUGCUAGAAGACAUCAGCUUUGUCACAGAAGAAAAUGUUGGUGAAAAUCAGGGAAUCAGCCACAUAUACCAUGGAAAACUGGUCUGCUGUCACAGAGAUCCUCCCAACUGCCCCGAAGAAAGUCCAAGUCAAAAGAAAUGCUACUGCAUAUGCCAAGCCACAGACUUGUGAGGAACACAUGAAGAACCUUAUUGGAAUACAGAAAUGCCUUGUAACUCCACUAAAUCCCACAACAAUCCCACAUUUCAUGUGGUUAAUAGGGAAAGUAUCUGAUAACUGGGCGCAGUAAUUAAAUGAGUCCUCCACAUCUGCUAUGAGCAGAGAUGUUUACCAUGGAUGGGGAGCUACUGCACUUCCAGCAGCUUCAGAGAGGGAAUUUAUCCUAGCAGGAAUUGAUUUCUGCAUUAGAGUCUUUCACAUCUGCCCAGUUUACAAAAUUGCCCUCUUUCUACUUUCUGUCCCAAACAGCAUGGCUACUUUGAAUGACAGAAGAUAUGCCACUGAAAUACCAGAGACAUUUUCUGAAGCGAUGGAAUGGACAGAUGCUGAAGGAAAGAAAUGAAAGAUAAUUUUGAUGAAGAUGAUCUUACUGUAUACUCUACCCAAAUAAACACUGCUGUAUUUUUUUCAAGCAUCAAAAUAGACUUGCUGGGAGAUGAGAAUGAGAAGUCAGGAAUAAAUGAAGUGUUUUCCAAGAAGAUGAUAAAAAUAGCUUCUGCUAAAGUAGAAAUAGCUGCUCCUGGGGACACAUAAACCCCUGUGUCAUUCCCAUGGAAACAGGGAAGACUUUUAAUUAUCACAACAUUGUUAUGAUAAUAAAACUAAUAAAAACAAUGAAAAUCAAAGGGAGUUACACAUCCACAUAUUUAACUAUUAUACUUCACACUGCAUUUAUUCAACUUUUUUCAUUACCUCACUAGAUCUUUCCUCAAGACACUUAAUAUUGAAAAGAAAAUCCUUCCUGCUUGGAAAAGAAAGCCACAAGCUAAUACAAAUAGCAAUCCUGGAGCGAUUGUCGCAAGAUUUACCUUAAAAGAACAAAAUAUUUUUGUUCUACUCACUUGUACUUUUUUGAAUACUCUGUUCUAUUUUAGGUCAAGAGUAACAUGGGGGAAUAGCAAGGUGCCUGGAGAAAAAAUGAACAAGAAUCACCAUAACUCUGGGAGCUAUAAUUUACAAGAAGACUGGUGGGCUCUAUCUAAAGAAAACUAAGGGGAGACACCAUGUCAGACUUCAAACAUAUACAAGACUGUAGACAGAAGAACUUAUUCGCUGUAUCCUUAAUGAAUAAAACAUGAUGUGUCUGAACUGCAAGAAGGAAAUCCGAAGCAUGACAUUUGACAAAGGGCAACAAAGCCCCAGAUGUACUGUCAAAGGACAGAGUGGGAUCUCCAGAGGGAAAGGUUUUCAGUAGAGCUCAGACACACAUCUGCUGGAAGCAUUAGAAGCAUAUUUGAUCCACGUUUGGCAACAACAGGGUGGUCUGUGUUAUCCUUGGAGAUUCUCCUCAGCCCUCCAUGGCUCCAGAUCUGUAAUUCUUCUUCUUGGCAAUUUCCAGCUGUAAUUUUCAGCCACUUGACCUCCUAGGCUGCUCGCUCCGCCUUGUGCAUGGGGACACAAAGCCAAGGAACAUGGGGUCCCAAUGGGGUGCUCCAUGUCCUCUGGAUGCUCAUGCAUGCUUUGCUGGUACUGCGAGCCAUGCACCUGCAGCCAAGGUGUGUCUCCAGGCCUCAGCAGGUGAACCAUGCAUGGGUUUCCCCUCCCAUGAGCCAGGGCAUGACCACAUCCACAGCAGAGUUGGAGCUGUUAGUCCCAGAUGGCACCUGACAGGUGUAACAAAAGAUGCUCUCUCUGACCACGUGUGGAGUUGACUAUUUUUUGCCACAAUUAUUUUCCUGCCAUGUUUGGUGUUUUAUAUCUGUGUUUUGUUGACAGAUUUCCCAAAGGGGUUGAUAAGAGGUGCCAAGAAAAUAUUUCAAGUAGGGUGAGCCGGUAUCAUCAGCCAGCCUCAGUGCUUGGCAUUAAGAUGGAAGGGAGUGUGGAGCCCAGCUCAUAUUAAUACAGGUCUGACUUGUCAAAACAAGGUUUGGGAAUCAGCAGAAGCAGGUGCAUGUAUUUCUCCUGGUAUAGAAGAUGUUGGGAUUUUCUCUCACAUUUUCUUAGUAAGAUGAAAAAUGUCUGUCAAAUGUUAUCCAUCUGUGGAAACACUUAGCAAGGUUAUGCCUGAAUCUAAAAAGAUACUAGGUAUAACAGGUAAUGCCAGACAAGAGCAUGAAAAAAGAACAUAAGUCUGUUGAUAAAGUACAGGAACAGAAGUAAUUAAAUUUGAUUUUAUUGCCAAACAAGUAAAAAAUGGCAGGGAUGGCCUCUGGAAAGUCCCUAAUCAUGUUGUUUCACUGUUUGGCUCUCUAAAAUGGAAUUUUAAUAAUUACCCACCUCACAAAUGUGCUGUAGUUCUGUGCUUAGAAAUGAUUGCGAAAGGGUCUGUGAGUAGCUGAGAAAAAAAUGUUGUUCACAUCAUUAUCACUAUGAUCUGUGUACACUUAUGCAAAUACAUCUGUGUCCCUAUGUGAUUUAUUUCAGAUUCUGGCUGGAAUUUAGAUGUAAGUAACUCCUUACACUUAAAUUGUUCUUCUAUAGUUAGCACAAUGGAUUGACAGAGUUACUUAUACUUAUUGCAAACUGGUUUGCUGUAUAAUCUCGACAGUUGCCUAAUCUUAAAUCAAGACCAAAUAGGGAAGAGCCCAGUCAAAAUUCAUCCUGCAAUGUGUAACAAGGAUACUGCAGAGCAAAGUAUGUUGAGGAGGGGUACAUUAACACCACAGGAAGGAACUCUUUUCUAAAUGUCCAAUGUUGGCUUAAUAAACAGAAUCCAUAUACUUACCUGUUGAAAUAAUGAUUUCAGCUGACCUUGAUGGAAGAGUAAGAAUUAUGCUCCAUACAGCACAAGUCAGGCAACAGCUCAGUAAUGCAACUCCACAAGCCAAGCUUACCUGGAGUAUAUGUCUAAAAUACCUGGGCUACGCAAAACUGCCACAAACUUGUUCUGUCAGUUCAGAUUAGUCCAGAUUACUCUACAGAUACAUGGUCACCUGUGCAGAGUUAAUGCCAGACUAGACAGGAUUUCUUUUCAUACUGCUCUUAUGGGUAUCACAUCUCCUUAGGCAGUUGGCAUAAAGUGUAAAAACUGUGAUAGAACAAGUUUAUUGUUCCAGAUGAUCUGACAGCACAUUGAGGUGGCAUUACUAUCCAUCCAUGGAUCCUACAUCUCAGCAUGCUGGGAGAUGACUGGCUUUAGAGGAGUGUGCAUGCUGUGCUACUUUGGCUUCCAACAAUUAAGAGCUUGAAGGAGAGUUAAAUGAAGGGGUUGCAGUUGUUAACGUUACCGGAAAGGAGGACUGCUCAUCAAUGUGAACAUUAAAAAUCACAGUAAAAUCAUUUAACAAGAUUGUCAACUAAUAGGAUUGAAAAAGCACUCAGAUAUGAGUGACAUUACCAGGACAAAAACGAGUCAGCUUCAGAACUCUGCAAGAGAAAAUAUGUAUGGGCUAGCACAGAGCAGGCAGACCCCUGGCUGCUUCCACCUGCAGUGUUUGGUAAAAGUGUAUUAAAGUGCACUAAAGUGUACCAGGGCUGCCAUCAUCCCUGCUCUGCAAAGACACCACAGGCCACAACAAUCCAGAAAUGAGCCACAGUCAAACUCAUUCACACCAAUAAAAACAAGGUAGAACCAUGUACACGACAACAGCAGAGAAACAUUUUUCUAACUUGCCAAACCACCAACAGGAGCCUUUUCCAGUGCUGUCUUGGUACCAAGUUCUUCUUACGUUUAAAUCUUGUGUGGUGAUCAUGUAAGUUUUGGCCAGGCAUCCACAGGAGCUAGAAAAGACAGCUUCGGUCCUCAUUACUUUUUAAGACCUCCACCUAAAUAAUGAAGUCCUUAUCAGCCUAAGCAAGCCGAAGGGUUUCCAUCUCUUAAGCUUUGCUACAGGCAUCUCUUGAAUACAGUGCAUUCAUUAAUUAAAUUUGACAAAGUUGCCUGAUGCUUGUGCAGAGGCUGCCUUCUCAGGCAAGGUUGCCACUCAGGGACAUGAGUAUUGAAACUACUGACUAUCAGAUAGGCACCAUGAACCAAUAUCAUUUGUAUCUAGUUCUCUGCACUGCUAUUACUUCAUCUUGUUGGUGUCCAGCCUUCUCUGCAGCAUACCCAAAUCACCUGGGAUACUAAGCUUGUUUCCCAUGCUUGCAGCCUGCUGAAGCCCUCCUCUCUGACUUGAAUCAAUGUGAAAACAAUGACUUAAAUCAAAUGGCCCAUCGUUUCUCUUGAUUGGAAUAACUUUAAAGAAAAUGUUAUGCCGCUUAAGUCAAUGGGAUAAUUUAGAAAAUAUAGAACUUGUCAAGAUUUUUCAAAACCUGCUGCCAUGCAAAAAUGUUUAAUAUAAGAUUGGCACAAUCACUUUUUCUGCAGGCAGUAUAUAAACAGUGAUGCUGUUUGUGUGCUGCAAGCAAUCCUUAGUCACACCUACUAAAUUAUCUGCACCUCCCUCCUCUCUCUCCCCUAGCCUAUGCACUCUUCUGGGAGUGACUUCCCACUUAUCUCCACAGCAGUAAGUGCCAUGCAGGCAGAGCUCUGCCCACUUUGGAAACUGCAUCAGAUUGUUACUGCUACCCUAUUUUACACUUGUAUUGUUUCAGACUUGGCAUCCAUUUCUGUGAUCCUUAUCCAGCUGAAGAUGACAAUAAUUGGCUUGUCCCCCUAAUCUGAUGUCAGGUUUCUUAUCUGAGAAUUUAGUAUUUUCUGAAGACAGAAGGCAUAAAUCAUGCUCCAGCAGCCACGGCUUUGCAACCUGAUCCAAUGCAAAUGGCUGAGUAUUAGAUAGAUAUCCUGAACUAAUCUCAAUCACUCUACUUUCAUCUACUUUUUGUCUUCAGUAAGACUUUCUCUUGCAUGAACAAGUGAAAUGUACGCCUACUGCCUCUUUACAACUUCUUCAUAUCUGCCUUCUCACACUUCUCUUUCGAUAACAUAAGCCAGGAUUACUUUAAUGAAGGAAAAGGAAAAUAUUUUACUAUGCCUGUCACAUGCUCUUUCACAGCCUGUGUGCUGGUGGGCUUUCUUGCCCAGGGGGAAGGGAAAGGUCAAGGCACAGAAAUACCCAAGUCUUCUUCAGCUUUCGCUCCAGGACAUAGUUUAUUAUCCAAACAUCAGAUUCAUAUAGUAACACAAAGCAAAGCUAUUCCCUCAUCCAAAGCCAGCUGCAGGGGCUCCCAGGCUUUCCAUGCCAGAAAAAGGGCACACAUCUUCCCCUAAACCCCUGAUGAAUCAAGUGACAAGCAGGCAACCUGUAACCCUUUCCCAACUGUUUAACCCCAUCACAAUGGGGUUGGAUGUUGUGAAUGCUUUAUUCCAGGGCUGGAGCAGACAGUUUCACACUCUUUCAAGUUUCUAAGUGCAAAACACUUCAAGGUUGGUUUGGUUUUUUGGUUUUUUGGGGUUUUUUUUUGUUUUGGUUUUUGGGGGUUUUUUUGAGGGGGGAUGGUGGUGGUGGUUUUGGUUUUUUGGGGUUUUUUUGUGCAUCAGUGCUUACAGCAACAUUAGGUAAUUUUGCUACACUUACUAAAAAAUCAGGUUGUGGUCUGCAAUAUGUGUUGGGGUUUUUUUGUUUGGUUGGAUUUUGGUUGUGUUUUUUUUAAUGAAAAUCUUUCUUCCUCAGAACAAACCUAUAUAGACUUUUACAUUUUUAUAAAUAUAUUGACCACAGAAAGAUUAACUAUGUGUUUAAAAGUUCACAGCUUCUGCGAAGUUGCUGCUAGAUGUGAGUUUUCUACCCUCAUAUAAAGUAUCAAGACAAAUGGGAAAGAACUACAAUGUGGAUAUGCAAAACUGUUACGUAUUUUAGAUUCUUAGAACUGAAAAACAGGGUAAAUGGUAAACUAAUAAGGAAAAAAAGCAUUUUCAAAAUAAACCCAAUUCCUCAAAAGGGCAGAUAAGGAGGGUUGCAGGCAAGAAGCAAAAAAAUAGCAGAGGAGAGGAGGGAAAAUCAAAUGGAUUUAUUUUGAAAGCUGAUUCAGAUAAAUGCUUUUUGCAAGUGGACCAUGGCUGCCUGAUGACUGUGGGCUUGUGAAGGUGGAAGAGUUGCAUUGUUGGACUUAAAAACAUGAGUAAAAACUCAGUCACUCAGUUGCUGUCCUACAAAUGUAAACAUCAUUUUCCUGGAUGCUGGCUGUACAAGGUGUAUCUUAAGCUAGAGAACAGUAGAAUAGAUAUUGGGCAGAUCCACACACAGUGACCACUCCCAAUUUUAGGGGGAAGCUGAGGCAAAAAAAAAAGAUUAAAUGUGCUUAUGUCCAGAACUGCAAACUUACAGAGGUCUUGUAACAAUAGGUCCAUCUUGUUUUCUGUCAUUUUAACAAUCACUUUAUGAUGUCCUCAUUUGUAAGAGUAGCACUUGACUUUCUGUACCUUGUCCCUCUGUUUCUGAGAGAAGUGUGAGUAGAAGACCUGUGCUUUAAAUCCCAUAAAGCUUCAUUUAACUCA